UACGGAGGGAGCUAGCGUUGUUCGGAAUUACUGGGCGUAAAGCGCGCGUAGGCGGCUUUGUAAGUUAGAGGUGAAAGCCCGGAGCUCAACUCCGGAACUGCCUUUAAAACUGCAUCGCUUGAAUCCAGGAGAGGUGAGUGGAAUUCCGAGUGUAGAGGUGAAAUGCGCAGAUAUCAGGAAGAACACCCGUGGCUAAGGCGGCUCUCUAGUACGGUACUGACGCUGAGACGCGAAAGCGUGGGGAGCGAACAGG
rnacentral:rRNA from 1 species